rnacentral:lncRNA from 10 species
AAUGCUCUUCACCAGGGAGGACACGAAGGAUCCCUCAGCCCCACUGAGCACAGACACCAGGUUUCCAGAGGGCCGCUUCUGGCAGGCCAGCUUUGAGGGCAACAAAGAGAAUGAGAGGGAGCCUGAGACCUGCUGAGGGAGGGCAGGGCAAAGAGAAAAGUGUUCGCUCAUCCUGCUGAGAUUCAAGGAGAGUCACCCCUGGCUAGAAGCUACAAUCAUCCAAGUGGGAAGUAAUGUCUACCGAUGUUCUGAUUUAAGUGAAUGAAGGUCUUCUUUCCACCUCGGGAAAUCUUGAGGGUUAUGUAACAGCAGCUUUGAAAGGCUUGUGAGAUGUACUUUGUGCUAGUCCAUCUCAAAUCUUCACCGGCUGUACCAAGAACAGAAAAAAAAAGGAAUUUGGUGAGUACUUUAUAAAGCUAAAUUUACUCAAUUAAUUUCACCUCUGAUUAUGUUUUUCAUGUAUCUUGGGACAUUAGAAUGUCCUGUAUUUA